rnacentral:rRNA from 1 species
UAGGGAAUCUUCCACAAUGGACGCAAGUCUGAUGGAGCAACGCCGCGUGAGUGAAGAAGGUUUUCGGAUCGUAAAGCUCUGUUGUUGGUGAAGAAGGAUAGAGGUAGUAACUGGCCUUUAUUUGACGGUAAUCAACCAGAAAGUCACGGCUAACUACGUGCCAGCAGCCGCGGUAAUACGUAGGUGGCAAGCGUUGUCCGGAUUUAUUGGGCGUAAAGCGAGCGCAGGCGGAAGAAUAAGUCUGAUGUGAAAGCCCUCGGCUUAACCGAGGAACUGCAUCGGAAACUGUUUUUCUUGAGUGCAGAAGAGGGGAGUGGAAAUCCAUGUGUAGCGGUGGAAUGCGUAGAUAUAUGGAAGAACACCAGUGGCGAAGGCGACUCUCUGGUCUGCAACUGACGCUGAGGCUCGAAAGCAUGGGUAGCGAACAGG